AAGUUACUAGAACCAUUGCCCGGCAGGCAGGCCAGGUCCGGGUAUAAAAGGUGAACGGAGCAUCCAAGCACUAGAGACGAAAAGCUACUCCUCGACUCACCACGGUAGCUAAGUCUUCCUUCCCUCGUUCAGCAUCAUGAAGGCAUCAUCCCUACUCCUGAUGAUCGGCGUGACCCUGACUGUGAUGAUGGUGGUCCAGGCCAUGCCCGACCCCUACCCUGACCCAGAUCCCGAGCCGCUCCCGUAUCCUGAGGCUCUCCCAGACCCUGGUUACCCCGGUAGAUACCCCGGCGGACAUGGUCAUCACCAUGGACACGGCCACCAUCAUCAUCAUCACCGUCCUCAUUACCGCAGAGGGUAGAUUCGCAAGUAACACUGAGGCUUUGAACGAUAAGGACGCCUGUUCCUGACGAGUGAAGUGAAGCCCCAUAAAAAUCCUACAACUGUUAUAUACCAAGUCCAUUUAAACCCAUGACCAACACAAUCCCUUCUGCACUUCCUCACUCUGUUCCAAAUACCGCAUGAUUAAUUAAAAGUAAUGAUCAAUAUAUCAGCAAAUAAAAAGAGCUUCAAGCUAUAAGUGUUUCACUUAACAAAACUAUUGUCAAUAUUGAACUUGACAAAGAGCGUAUAUUUAAAAUGUUAAUAAUUCUGGAUUAGUAAACGGAACAAAUAGUGCUGGUAAGUCGCUAUCACUUUUUCCCACUACUGUUACUGCUCCUGAAACUACUACGAUAUUUCUUUGUUAACAUCAGAAUGCAAACUAUUGAUGUCUUCUGAACUCAAGUGAUGUGUAUGGUGCGGUACUAGGCAGUGGUCGACCCAAGCCCAUCAGUGGCACGGGCAACUUUGCAGUGGUUAGUUGUUUGCAAGACUAUGAUGCUGGUGACCCACGUUCAAUCCCAUCCAUGGCGGGGAUUUUUUCAGGCCACUGGAUGGAACCUACCUUUAAUGGGUACCUUAGUAUUAUCCAUCCUAAGGAGGUUAGAGGUGGCGGGGUAUGAAAAUGGCCACCUUAUUUCAUAUGACGUUGACCUCCCCUCCAAGGUGUCGCUACUCACCCAGCCCUACUCUCCUUAAGGCACGAAGUUAUAAAUAUAUCCAAAAUCUGAAAAUACUCAUUGAUGUAUAUUUAACUACUUCAGUUUUUAUACAAUACUGUAAUGAGGCAAUGUUUAUCAACUUGAAAGCUACCGGUCAGAAGCCAAGACAGUCUCUUCUUUUUGCCUUCUGUAAGCUCUCCUCUUUUCACAGAUGAUGUACACUGCUUUAUUAUAAGACAUAAGAUUACUUUUAUAUUUUGUUAAAGUUAUUAUAAGAUAUCAUAAGCCACCGUCUGGUUUCACACAAAACAAUUGAUACAUGUGAACCCCAGUGGUGGUGGCCACGGUGAUGGUGGUGGUGACCGUGGUGAUGAUGGUGACAAAAAGAAUUCGGUCAAGAAAUUAUAUCACGGACAAGCUGGCUCUAGAACUCAGUCAAAUCUAAAAUUAGAGGUGAGAUAGCUAUAAAAAAAAUGCUCACAAAUUUCACACAGAUUUAAGCAAGCGAAAAUAUUGUUGACACGUUACAGCCAAAUGACCAAAACACUUACAAUAUUCCUCUCUGGUGAUUCCAGCAAUAUGAGCAUCAUGGAAAAAUAAUGAAAUAUCUCGGAGUUAUCGAACGAGUAAACUCAAGAAAAAAUUUUCCUUCUUCGAAUUAAGAAAAAAGCAUCACCAACCGGGGGAUGCUUUCGAGUUUUCCCGCAUAUAAAACGUAAUUAUAUGGGGUUUACCAAGCAAACAAAAAAGUAAGGCAUCCAAAAUACAACGAACUGGAAACACCGGAACCAUUGCCCGGCAGGCCAGGACGGGGCGAUUAUAAAAGGUGAACGGACCAUCCAAGCACUAGAGACGAAAAGAUACUCCUCGACUCAGCACGAUAGCUAAGUCUUCCUUCCCUAGCUCGGCAUCAUGAAGGCAUCAUCCCUACUCCUGAUGAUGGGCGUGACCCUGACUGUGAUGAUGGUGGUCCAGGCCAUGCCCGACCCCUACCCUGAUCCAGAUCCCGAGCCGUUCCCGUACCCUGAGGCCCUCCCAGACCCAAAUCCUAGUAGGUACCGCGGUAGCUACUACGGCGGGCGUUACCGCGGACACGGCUCACACUAUGGUGGACGUAGUCAUCACCAGCAUUAUCAUCACCGUCCUCAUGGUUACAGCAGAGUGUAUAUUCGCAAGUACCACUGAGACUCUGAAAGGACGCCUGUUCCUGACGAGUGAAGUGAAGCCUCAUAAAGAUCCCACAACUGUUAUAAACCAAGUCCAAUUAAACCCAUGGCCAACACUAUCUCUUCUGCACUUCCUCCCUGAUUAAAAGUAAUGAUCAAUAUAUCAGCAAAAAUAAAGAGCUUCAACCAAUAA